rnacentral:rRNA from 1 species
CCCUUAGAUGUCCUGGGCCGCACGCGCGCUACACUGAGUGUCUGAGAUACGAGUCUGCCUGGUCCGGCAAGGUCUAGGUAAUCGCUAAAAGACACAUCAUGCUUGGGAUAGAUUAUUGCAAAUAUUAAUCUUGAACGAGGAAUUCCUAGUAAGCGCAAGUCAACAGCUUGCGUUUAUUACGUCCCUGCCCUUUGUACACACCGCCCGUCGCUACUACUGAUUGGGUGUUUAAGCGAGGUUCUCGAACUGCUAGCGACUUAGCUUCGGUGAGGUCGCAGUGUGGGAAGUGAACCUAGCUUUGGUGUCUAGAGGAAGUAAAAGUCGUAACA